CCACUGCCACCCCUCUGCAUGACCACACAGCCCUUGGGCCGCCGUUCAACCUGUGAGACAUUAUUUAGGAGCUGGGGGAUGUGCUAGCUGGCUACACUGAGAAUAAAAUCCUGGCUGCAGCAGCACACUGCUCCCAGCCCAAGCCCCCUGUAUGGGCUGGUAGAUGGGCAUGGGCCAGGGCCAGGGCCAGGGCCAGCACAGCAGGGCAUGGCCACCAAGGCCAGUCAGGCCUGCACCCUGCCAGAACACAACUCCUCCCAUGAGGUGAUUUUCAGGAGCAGCUGCCCAGUGCAACGGUACAUAUUUGCUUCUGAAUCCUUUCUCAAAGGCACUAUUUAAACAUGUUGAUGAACUGAACUGGAUUUCUCCCCACCUCCAUUCCAAGCAAAACAAGGAGACUCAGAAGAUAAAAUUUGUUUUGAUAUUGCAAGUAGUGCUAUGUGGCUGUACCUACCAUGAUUUGAAAAUGAAAUUCAAAGUAUUGACAAGGUGAUGAAUCUUCUCCUUCUCUGAACUUCACAUACUCAGAGGCUUUCAGAAACUAAUUGAAGCUGUGAAAAAAAUACACCAAAAGAGUGAAAAAAGAUCUGUGGAUUUCAUUUAGAAAUAGUUUUGUCUUUUGGACGAGUUGCAACAUGAAAACAAGUAUUUAUGAUAGAAAUGCUGACAUAACUUCACUAAUAGCACCUCUAACAGAGAUUGUUACAAUGUGUAUUUACUCAGUACAGCAUUAAAUAAGAGAUGUGAACUCACCAUAGCAACCCCUGCAUCACAUUGCAGAUAUGCUGCUUCUAAGAUACGGCAAACGUUUCUGAAGGAAUAUACACAAAUAUUAGGUAAACAUCUAUCAAUUGCAAAUUGGGUUUCAAAAAUACUUUGCUAAACAGUAUUAUAAAAAGCAGUAUAGCUUGAUGUUAUGUAAAUUAAUAAAUUAUGGCUGGACUUUGCUUUUUAUUUUCUCACGAUUGUUACCUCAAAAUGUAAUUUUAAGCAGCUCCCCAACUGUCUAUGAGAAAAAUAGUGGCAAGUACAUUGUUGAGCUCCUCCAAAUUGUCACCUAGAAUCUUUACCCACCCAGCAGACUCACCUGUCCCUUUCAGGCCUUCUCUUUCUGCCAUCCUGAGAUCUUGCUAAAAUACUGCUCUUCACCACAAGAGAUCCAGAGGAAUUAUAUGGAUACAGUCAAGGCUAGAAGUAGGUUUUCUGCUGAACUGUCAUAGUCCAUUUUUAAACAUAUGACUAUUUUCUCUUCAUUACCACUCUACUCUUACUUUUCAGUUUGAAUUUUAUCCACUAAUAUGUAUUCAUUUAACUUGUCUUUAUUCAAAUGGAUUUCUAUCCUUGGCAUGAACAAAAUGUCAUUGUAUUGGCAAUGUUACUUUUUUUUUUCCCCUUAAUUUUUUCAUCCUUUUAGUGAGUCUCCUAUGACUGAUAUAAACAUUUUUUGUGUUUAGUUUUGGCACUCCUCUUUUGGUGGCCUGAUCCUUAAAGUUCCAGUACUAUAUCUUAAUGAAAAGCUUUUAAGUUGCUACUGAGUUACCAUCAACUUCAGCUUGACCAAAAUCCUUGGCAGGUUGCCUGUUCAUAUACAUCAACUUUAAAUUACUUCUGCAGUACCUAAAACAAGAUCCUGAUGAUGUGCAGUGGGUUGCCAUGCCUGCUGCAAUCAAGAUUUUGCUGUCAGAUCUUCCUUAUACUCCAUCCAACAAUUCUUAACAGACUUUACUCCUGGAAGGUGAA